AUUGAACGCCGGCGGAAUGCUUUACACAUGCAAGUCGGGCGGCAGCGCGGGGGCAACCCUGGCGGCGAGCGGCGAACGGGUGAGUAAUACAUCGGAACGUGUCCUUGAGUGGGGGAUAGCUCGGCGAAAGCCGGAUUAAUACCGCAUAAGCUCUGAGGAGGAAAGCGGGGGACGUGGUAACGGCCUCGCGCUGUUGGAGCGGCCGAUGUCGGAUUAGCUAGUUGGUGGGGUAAAGGCCCACCAAGGCGACGAUCCGUAGCUGGUCUGAGAGGAUGAUCAGCCACACUGGAACUGAGACACGGUCCAGACUCCUACGGGAGGCAGCAGUGGGGAAUUUUGGACAAUGGGGGCAACCCUGAUCCAGCCAUUCCGCGUGAGUGAAGAAGGCC
rnacentral:rRNA from 1 species